rnacentral:rRNA from 1 species
AUACGUAGGUGGCAAGCGUUGUCCGGAUUUACUGGGUGUAAAGGGCGUGUAGGCGGAGAUGCAAGUCAGGAGUGAAAUCUAGGGGCUCAACCCCUAAACUGCUUUUGAAACUGUAUCCCUUGAGUAUCGGAGAGGCAGGCGGAAUUCCUAUGGUAGCGGGGAAAUGCGUAGAUAGUAUGAGGGACACCAGUGGGGAAGGCUGCCGGCUGGACGACAACGGACGCUGAGGCGCGAAAGCGUGGGGAGCAAACAGGAUUAGAGACCCUGGUAGUCCACGCUGUAAACGAUGAAUACUAGGUGUGGGGGGACGGACCCCCUCCGUGCCGCAGUUAACACAAUAAGUAUUCCACCUGGGGAGUACGAUCGCAAGAUUGAAACUCAAAUGAAUUGACGGGG